UACGGUGAGGGUGCAAGCGUUGUCCGGAAUUGUUGGGCGUAAAGAGCUCGUAGGCGGUUAGUCGCGUCUGCUGUGAAAACUCGGGGCUUAACCCUGGCCUGCAGUGGGUACGGGCUGACUAGAGUGCGGUAGGGGAGACUGGAAUUCCUGGUGUAGCGGUGAAAUGCGCAGAUAUCAGGAGGAACACCGGUGGCGAAGGCGGGUCUCUGGGCCGUAACUGACGCUGAGGAGCGAAAGCGUGGGGAGCAAACAGG
rnacentral:rRNA from 1 species